GGUUUCAGUCACGUCAUGAUUAUGAUGCGGCCAGGCGGCGCGAUUUCAGAUGGAGGGCAGGGUAUGAAGUUAGCGUAAACAUGAAGGACACCGUUACAGAGAGCCCGUAUUGUAUAGAGUUAGAGCCCGUUUCAAGACAUAGAUACAAGGAAUUAAUUGACAAAUAUGUUGGACGUGACCCGUACCUCAUGAAGAUGAGUGAGUUUUCGGUGGAGCUUAAAGAUUUGCCGACAGUGGAGGCCGUUGACAUUACAAACUAUCUGGUCCUUCAGACAUGUAUUACACCAAACAGCAAAUGAAGGCCUAUAAAAGUAUGGAGGCAUAUAACUUUUUUGUCCACAACCUCGGCACCAAACGUCUCCACGACGAUCAUCAUUUAGUCUUCGCCAGGGUAAACCACUCUCAACGAUCAAGCGAAACACCUCUGAAGACUUGGAUUAUUGCGAAGAAGGAUGGAGAAGUCAUUGCAGCUCAUUGCAAUUGCAUGGCAGGAUUAUCAGAAUCAUGUUCUCAUGUAGGAGCUGUGCUUUUUUCCAUUGAAGCUGGGGUAAAAAUGUGAGAUGCAGCUUCCUGCACAACAGAUCAGUGCAAGUGGCUGAUGCCAUCACAUGUAAAAAAGAUUCCUGCUGCUCCAGUAGCUCAGAUAGACUUCUCCUCAGCAAAAUCAGUGCAGCAUUGAUGGCUAGGGAGCCUUACCACAAAGAUUUCAUUCCCGUAUCUAGCAUGCUUCCUAAAACUCUUCGUGAAUACAGAACACCAGACACACUGCAGUUACCCCCCAAAGAGCUUGGAGAGCUAUGCCAGGAUUUCAAGCUAGAAGAGCUCACCCUGUCCCAGGUCCAGGCUGUAGAGGGCAACUCGGAGUCAGAGUGCAGGCAGGACUUGGUUUAGACAAAGAGCUGGGCGCAUAACUGCCUCUAAGCUUAAACAAGUACUAAAGACCAACCCCCAGCAACCAUCAACGAGUUUGAUCAAGGCCAUAUGCUACCCAGAAGCAUAAAGGUUCACCACAGCCGCUACAAGGUAUUUAGGGUUUGAAUUAGGGUAAGGCAGAGGUAAGAUUUGGGGUAUGAGGCUGUCUACAUUAAGAAUUGUAACUAAAAAAGUGUUCUAUGAAGUGGGAGGAGAGUCCAUACCACAACUAUAAAGCUGUGGUCCUUACUAUGCCAUCUACUGUAGACCUUUUUUACGUUAGAACAAAUGUUUACUGUUUUCAUAGUUCAUUUGUGGUAUGGACAGCUCUGAAGAGUCAACAUACGUUAUAGGGUUAUAAGGUUAGGGUUAUGCAGGAGUAGAACUAAGUAUAGGGGUUAAGGUAAUGGCAUUUAAAUCACUGAACUGGCUCUACACAUCCAAUACUAAGUAAUAAUUUCUUUUUCAUGUUUUGCAUGUGUACUGUGUACAGUUAUGGAUGCAAACAUGAGGCACAAGCCAGAGGAGCAUAUGAGAAGCUGAUGGGUCGGGAGCAUGCAGGCUUCUCCUGUAUGGACAGUGGUCUCUGGCUGAACCCCAAGUGGCCAUACAUGGGAUCCUCUCCUGAUGGGAUUGUCGCUUGUGACUGUCACGGAACUGGCAUCUGUGAAAUUAAGUGCCCAUACUCUCACCAAGAUGAAGCCAAUCUACGUUUGUGUGCUGGGAGAAAGGGCUUCUGCCUUAUCAACGAUGGGGAUCAUGUCAUGCUGGACCGGAGUCAUGAUUACUACUUCCAAGUUCAGGCACAGCUUCACAUUGUAGAUGCAGAGUACUGUGACUUUGUUGUGUGGAACCACAAUGACAUUUUUGUGGAAAGGAUUUUGCCUGAUUUUGAACUUUGGGAUGAUGUGAUUCCUAAAGUUGAGUGUUUUUUUUAGAAACAGUGUACUUCCAGAAAUACUGGGACAGCAAGUUACAAACGUACAUGUGUAAUGUUUACUGUUAAGA